UCAUAUGGCGACUUAGACUGCAAAUUGA
rnacentral:piRNA from 1 species